rnacentral:misc_RNA from 1 species
AACGCAUAUUGCGCUCUCUGGUAUUCCGGAGAGCAUGCUUGUUUGAGUAUCAGUAAACACCUCAACUCCCCUUUCUUUUUUUGAAAUGGGAGCUGGACUUGAGUGAUCCCAACGCUUUUCCUCACCGAAAAGUGGCGGGUUACUUGAAAUGCAGGUGCAGCUGGACUUUUCUCUGAGCUAAAAGCAUAUCUAUUUAGUCUGCCUAAAAAACAGAUUAUUACCUUUGCUGCAGCUAACAUAAAGGAGAUUGGUUCUUGUGCUGACUGAUGCAGGAUUCACAGAGACAGCUUCGGCUGGCUUUGUAAACUCGAUCUCAAAUCAAGUAAGACUACCCGCUGAACUUAA